AAACAGGAUGCGACUAAAAUAAGAGGGAAGAAAUGUAGAAUGUACACUAAAGAAAUAAUAAGAAAAUCCUCUUAAGAUACUCCAGUACAGCGCAAUGGAUUACGCAAGAUUUAUUCUUGCUCAGUGAGUAAUUUGUUUAUGAAUGGGAAUGAUUAGCGAUGUUACUGACCCGCGGAUGCUUCGUUACUAUCUGCCAGUGCGUCUAAUCGUAUGUCACUGUAUAGAACGUGAACGAUCUGGAAAUAUGUCAAUAAUGCAAUAACAAUAAAUUUUGAAGUUCCCAAGCCUGAACAUAGUCACUUUUGUCUACACAUUUCACACUUUUGUCUACAAUUAAUGCUUAAUUACACAUGUGAAUUUUCGGAAGUGAAUUUACGUAAAUUUUUAAUGAACUAAAAAAAGCCUAUUAAAUAAUUAUUUUAUACUCGUCAGUCAUUAGGUUCGUUUAACCUAAGAGGAGAGCGACGUAAAAUUCUACUUCUGAGUUAUUCUAUUCGUUGUAACGGACUCACAGUCCAAUUCCACAGAUUUCGCUCUCACGCGCCUCACUUUGUUUUCGAUUGAACAAUAAUUGAUAUCGUGCGAGUAAUAAACAAUGAGAUACGUACAUAGAUUUCGUUCGUUACUCAAUAACAGGAGCAUCGUAGGACUCUAGUUAGAGUCUAAAGGAGACGAAUAAAAAUAUAUUAAUCUGUUUUACCAUACGAGUAAAAAGCUAUGGGAAAAGAUUGAUUUUACCGACUCCCAUUUACUCAGUCAUGGGAGACACGUGUCGAUAAUGAUUUCUUUUUCCUGCCUCUGGCAAGGCGCCAGGGUCGCAGCUAUAAAAAUUAUGACGCAACGGUGUGGACGCAGUGCUCGUCGUAGAUUUAAUGAUGUUGGUCUCUUUUAUAAAUCAUUUCAUCGACCCGCGAAGAGGUGGUAGAAAAAAAAAACAAAAAGAAAGGAAAAGGAUCAGACGGUUCGAAAAUCCUGGAAAGUUUCGUCGCGUUACUAUACUCUAAGGUCCGUAUUCAUAGUCAGUGCUUGACACAAAGCACAGUCUUAAGACCAUAUAUAUAGUAAUAAUAACACUUGGUAGAGAAUGUCUUAAGAUCGUGCUUAAAACGAAGAACUGAAUCUGAAUACGGCCCUAAGACUUUUAUCGCAAGGUACGGUAGACGCGAUCGAAGUUCCUGAAUUUCAAACGCGUAACGGCCAGUUCACGUGAGCCGUUCGUUCAGAAGCCGGUUAAUCGACCUUAUGGGUAAUGUUAAAGUAUAAUAAAAAUUUACGUGAGAGCUAUUUCGGAAACGAUGACGUCAGCUGUAGAACGCCACGAGGCCGCUGACAGCCAGUGACGAAAUUUUCGCCGCUUCCACUAAGAAGUGAAUGUUGAUAAUAGGCAUAACCUCGAAAACGGCAUAGCGUCUUCACGGUACGCUGAAUUCGAAAUAUUCUUCAGGACUAUUUUAUUUCUCGUGGAUUUAGAGAAACGACGUAAAUACCGAAUUAUCCUUUUGCUACCAUUCAAUUUCGUUAGCUAUUAUUUUUUAAUUGAAUCUCGGAUAAAUCGAAUCGGACACUUUGACAAGAACGACAAUUUUUUCAAUAUUGCUGUACUCUCCAUAUCGACUUCGUCAUCGUGCCUAAUGUUUCCGGUCGGUACGGCAGCCAAGGAAUGCUCCGCAAUUAUCAAAUACUAUAUAUUAAUAAUAACAAGCCUUGAAUUUUCUGUUAUUAACCGCGGGAAAUUUAAAUUUCUUAAAAUAAAUUUAGCCAAGUUUCACUGAAUCACGCCAAAAGCGAAUAACAUAAAAUCGUCAGUCUUACAUACACGAAGAGCAUAAUCGAUCGCUAUCAUGGGAACUAGACGUUAGCAACGAGUUACAUUGUAAAUUGAAUGAUGAUGUCAUGCGGGUGGAAUCGAUUGGUAGGAGCUGAAUGACGUCACGAACUACAGGAGAGUGACGAGUUACGACUUAGUUAUUACGUGCAGCUGUCAUACCGGAAGUGGCAUCCAUAUUGAAUGUACAAAGAAACAAACAAACAAUUGGUUAAGUCAAUGUAUACCUAAGGUAUCGUUCAAAGACGAGCAAAGUAUGCCUGGAGAUAUUAAAGGAAAAUGAUAAAGAGCAGAAAGAGUAAUGACCGGAAGUAGCCAACGGUGUCAAGGAUAUUCCCAGAAAGUACGAUAAAUUUCCACAAAGUCUAUUAUGUGACUAUGCCCGUAUACAGUGGAGCGAAGACAUGAGAAAAGCAAAAAAAAGGUCUAAGAGAGAAGAGAUAGAAAAAUCGAUGAAAACCUUCUAUUCCCUGAGUACUGCCAAGCACAUUUGGAAUGUGGGUCAAGCCAGGAAAACGAUCCACACCCGUUACCACGUUUGCAACCAUUUGUAAUAUUGCGUGUAUGUAGGUACAAUUUAUGUCUAGGAAGUGAACGGAUCCAAUCACGGUAUUGUCCUGUGGUUCUAUUUGGCGACCUUCAACCUUUGAACCGUAGCCUGAUAAAUUUCACGAACUGAAGUCAACCGGGCUUGGGUCACAGCAUGAGUUUGCGGUAUGGCUAGUGAUGUAAGAAAUUAUAUAAAAAAUGAAAAAGAUAAACCAUGUAUUCAUAAGCGUCCGGUACUCUGUAAUUAUAGCAACCUAGACCAGCUCACUGCGGUAGUCAGUAAAUGCUACUGAGGUCCGUGGCAAAGCAGAAAAUAAGACUGUUGUAGCUAGUGUGUGCAGAGAGGCGUCCAAGUAUGUUACGCCACAUAGGAUCCUGUGUUAAAAGAAUUUGUAAAAAUAAGAUAGAAAAUAAGCCGAUAGAGUUCAUGGCUGAACGAUAACAGAUCAAGGAAGGGAGCAGCUCUCAUUAUUCUUUUGGUUCAAGACGCAGAACGACAACAGGGAUAAUGAAAAUAAAUGAUACAAACUGCAACAUCGGCCAACGAAAUG